UCGCAAGUUUUAGAAAAACAACUUUUAUUACCAACAGUCAUAUUUACCCUCAUUACGGCACGGAUUAUAUUUAACUGCCGACGAUCCAUCAUUGUUAUCCGAUUUCGGGGAAAAUCAAUGCUUUUGGUGUAGAAAGGCAAACAUAAGCUGCUACGGAAAACACGUCAGGAUUGCUCCGAUCAGUGAACACAGUGAUUUAAAUUGGAGCCGUACAGCCGAACGGCACACGGGGUCCGGAUAUAUUCAUCUUUGUGAACCAUGGACUGGUUGAUUCGAUCUUGUGGAUAUUUUAUCACGCUGAAGCUCCAAUUGGGUGUCCGUGCUUUGCUGAGUUCAUUGAGUUGUAGAAAAAACACUGGAGAACAGAGCAAGAAAGAUCGGCAAGAGUAUUACCUUGAGGUCUACCGAUUUUAUAAAGCAUUCGUCAGCUGAUUUGCGUCACUGACAAAAGCAACCAGCUUGUAAACAUUCAUGAAGUACAGCCUCCAAAGUUACUGCUGCGGAUGCAGAAGUAAGCUCGCUGCUCACCAAUACCCGGUGAUGACCAACACAACACCAACACAUCCGAUUCAGCUAAAGGCUAGAUGCAGAAGCUUAACGGGAUCAAGGAAGCAGAGCGUUUUCACUCUCUGUUUUCGGUUCAAGAACCGUUCUCCCGUUAACAAGGUACAAAGUGUCCGAUGUCAUGAAAAAUAAACGCGCCAGAAGAUGCACUUUUAAUAAUCGACUGUUUUGUUUUGGACAUUUUUGGAGCGAAUGUUUUCUCUUGUCCUAAAGACGAAUUACCACUAUCCAAUUUAAUUUCCCGGGAAAUGGGAGGGCAUUACAAAUGAGUUCAAACGUAAAAAAGUAAAGAAGCUUGAUACUUUGGUUUUGUUGAAUUAAAAUUUACGUUUUAUUACUUCAAUAGAGGAAAUCUGCGCCAAUUUACAACAUAGGGUAAACUG